CCGGCCCUGAGACAGAGCUGAGCCCAGCAGCGUGUGAGAAAGAGCAGCCAAGGUCAGGAGAGUACUGCAGGGGGAAACUGAAGCCCAGAGAGAGGAAGCAACUCCCCCACACAAGGUCAAAUAGCAAUUUUCGUAUAGAGCCAGACCCAGAAACCAUGUCUCAUGCACCGACCGCCCAAGCUACCCCUAAGUCUUGAAGGAGGCAACCAUGGUCGCCUUGGAGGCAAGUACUGAAGGUGGCAGAACCUCUGCGUGGAAAGGUCCUGGGUCCCUGUGUCACCACUUGGAGGGAAA